rnacentral:lncRNA from 1 species
AUGGGCCUGGUGACAUGUUCUCACUCACAGCGGGCAAAAGGGACAAUCCCCAUGCCACACUUGUUUGCCAAGACAAGGGAAAUGUUGAAAAGCCAUGUUGAUUCCAAAUGUGAACAGAUCCGGGAGGGCAAGGUCCCGGCCCAAGUCUGGAAAUCUUGGGAAUGCAAAAUUCCUGGAAGCUUAGCAACAGUGGCUCCCUUCCCUUGGAUUCCACAAGGCCAAUGCAGGAAGUUACAGGCAGAAAGUAAAAGUGACCCUGACUUACUUCACAAAGUUGUUCCCUGGAAACCAAAGACCCUCAGCCAGGAGACACAAACCUUAUCUGGUACUCUCUUUGAACACUGUAAGAAGCCCCAAUCCCUGCCUAAGGAAACCAUUAAGAAACUGGAGACAACUUUACAUCAUAAGUAUCUGGCCUUCCUGUCAGGCCUGCCUGCCCUUUACUGUGUAGCUCUCUCUAGGCCUGCAUCCCCAGCAGUCACUAGCCAACCUAGACUCAGAGAGAAGAUGCCCAAAGCUGUCAAAAGCCCAUCAAAUGCUCUGACUCAAAUAACCCCACUUGAGCCCUGCGCUCAGGAUGACAGUGGGGUGUCUGCGGACACUGCAGAAGAGUUCCAGCCUGGAGCAGAGGCGGACAGAAGGACAGAGAAGGUGCCUGCAGAGAGUCAGCCUCCCCCAUGCAGACCCUACCCAAUAAACACACAUAUCUUGGCCAAACUGAAUUUCCACCUGAAAAAAAAGAUCCUAGCAAUGCAGUUUGGGAUUUCUGAAAAGGAAAAGAGAGAAUACAAGGAGCUGGGUACAGCCGACCUAGAGAGCGAAUCCAUCCAGGAAUUUCUCAGAAGUCUACACAUGUCAGAGAGCACACUGCUUCAGGAACAGCCUGUCGCAUGCCCAUCUCUGCCAGCCCCAAAUGCAAAAGGGGUCCACCCUAAAAAACAGCCAGCUUCUGCAGUACAGGAUGUGUGUCAGGCGCAAAGGCCUCCUCCUUCCAAAGCAGUGCCCCAUAGUUCUGCCCAGCAGAGCUCCAAGGCCUCGCAAUCCCAAAGGGAUAAGACCCAAGUCUGUGUUGACAUGGAAGCUGGAGGGAAAAGGUUCAACCUAGAGAAAUCCAAAGUCGUGGGGGACCUUGGAGAAGGGGACGCAGGUCUUGGGUUUUCCCUGGUCAGUCAAAAGACACGCCAGGAUGGAGAGCAGGAGAAGAGGCUCCUGCACAGACCACUCCAGGGCUCCUCACAACAGGGUCACACCUUUCAUCUUGAGGAUGCCUGUCCACACAGUCCCCGGGAGUCCCCUGAGCUCCAGUUCCCAGACCCACCUCCAGAAGUCUUCAUGGAGACAGACUCUGAGCAGGACAUGGAAGACAGUCAAAGCGAGGAAUCCAUUGUCCCAGAU